rnacentral:rRNA from 2 species
UAGUCAUAUGCUUGUCUCAAAGAUUAAGCCAUGCAUGUCUAAGUAUAAGCAAUCUAUACAGUGAAACUGCGAAUGGCUCAUUAAAUCAGUUAUCGUUUAUUUGAUAGUACCUUACUACUUGGAUAACCGUGGUAAUUCUAGAGCUAAUACAUGCUAAAAACCUCGACUUCGGAAGGGGUGUAUUUAUUAGAUAAAAAACCAAUGCCCUUCGGGGCUCCUUGGUGAUUCAUGAUAACUUAACGAAUCGCAUGGCCUUGUGCCGGCGAUGGUUCAUUCAAAUUUCUGCCCUAUCAACUUUCGAUGGUAGGAUAGUGGCCUACCAUGGUUUCAACGGGUAACGGGGAAUUAGGGUUCUAUUCCGGAGAGGGAGCCUGAGAAACGGCUACCACAUCCAAGGAAGGCAGCAGGCGCGCAAAUUACCCAAUCCCGACACGGGGAGGUAGUGACAAUAAAUACUGAUACAGGGCUCUUUUGGGUCUUGUAAUUGGAAUGAGUACAAUUUAAAUCCCUUAACGAGGAACAAUU